rnacentral:lncRNA from 1 species
CUAAGAGCUGAUGAAUUGGUCUAAACCAAAUACUCUGCACCACCAACGAGCGGAAAUCAUUACAGGCAUUAGUUUCAUCUUGGAUAUCAAAGCCAAGAAACUCUCCUGAAAUAUCAUGGACCUUUUUACCAAGCUCUUUGGUGAACUUGAGUCUUAUGAGUUGCAGGCUGUCUGAUGAAUCUUUUCUCCAGAAGUUUAGCAAUCUUCCCCUGCUCCAAGAACUGGAUCUAAGUGAAAAUUCAAUUAGUUGCCUCCCGGAGUGGGUCAAGUGUCUCCCUCAGCUCCAAAGCCUCAGUGUCAAGGCCUGUAAGAUGCUCAAAUCACUUACUGAGAUGCCAGUUAGCAUUUCAGAACUGUCCAUAGAUAGUUGCUCGUCCUUGGAAAUGAUGAGUCGUGGGCCUUUUUACCAAGCUCUUUGGUGAGCUUGAGUCUUAUGAGUUGCAGGCUGUCUGAUGAAUCUUUUCCCCAGAAGUUUAGCAAUCUUCCGCUUCUCCAAGAACUGGAUCUAAGUGAAAA